AGAGUUUGAUCCUGGCUCAGGACGAACGCUGGCGGCGUGCCUAAUACAUGCAAGUCGAGCGGACAGAUGGGAGCUUGCUCCCUGAUGUUAGCGGCGGACGGGUGAGUAACACGUGGGUAACCUGCCUGUAAGACUGGGAUAACUCCGGGAAACCGGGGCUAAUACCGGAUGCUUGUUUGAACCGCAUGGUUCAAACAUAAAAGGUGGCUUCGGCUACCACUUACAGAUGGACCCGCGGCGCAUUAGCUAGUUGGUGAGGUAAUGGCUCACCAAGGCAACGAUGCGUAGCCGACCUGAGAGGGUGAUCGGCCACACUGGGACUGAGACACGGCCCAGACUCCUACGGGAGGCAGCAGUAGGGAAUCUUCCGCAAUGGACGAAAGUCUGACGGAGCAACGCCGCGUGAGUGAUGAAGGUUUUCGGAUCGUAAAGCUCUGUUGUUAGGGAAGAACAAGUGCCGUUCAAAUAGGGCGGCACCUUGACGGUACC
rnacentral:rRNA from 1 species